ACAGAUAAGGAGCUUGCUCCUUUGACGUUAGCGGCGGACGGGUGAGUAACACGUGGGUAACCUACCUAUAAGACUGGGAUAACUUCGGGAAACCGGAGCUAAUACCGGAUAACAUUUGGAACCGCAUGGUUCUAAAGUGAAAGAUGGUUUUGCUAUCACUUAUAGAUGGACCCGCGCCGUAUUAGCUAGUUGGUAAGGUAACGGCUUACCAAGGCGACGAUACGUAGCCGACCUGAGAGGGUGAUCGGCCACACUGGAACUGAGACACGGUCCAGACUCCUACGGGAGGCAGCAGUAGGGAAUCUUCCGCAAUGGGCGAAAGCCUGACGGAGCAACGCCGCGUGAGUGAUGAAGGGUUUCGGCUCGUAAAACUCUGUUAUUAGGGAAGAACAAAUGUGUAAGUAACUGUGCACAUCUUGACGGUACCUAAUCAGAAAGCCACGGCUAACUACGUGCCAGCAGCCGCGGUAAUACGUAGGUGGCAAGCGUUAUCCGGAAUUAUUGGGCGUAAAGCGCGCGUAGGCGGUUUCUUAAGUCUGAUGUGAAAGCCCACGGCUCAACCGUGGAGGGUCAUUGGAAACUGGGAAACUUGAGUGCAGAAGAGGAAAGUGGAAUUCCAUGUGUAGCGGUGAAAUGCGCAGAGAUAUGGAGGAACACCAGUGGCGAAGGCGACUUUCUGGUCUGUAACUGACGCUGAUGUGCGAAAGCGUGGGGAUCAAACAGGAUUAGAUACCCUGGUAGUCCACGCCGUAAACGAUGAGUGCUAAGUGUUAGGGGGUUUCCGCCCCUUAGUGCUGCAGCUAACGCAUUAAGCACUCCGCCUGGGGAGUACGACCGCAAGGUUGAAACUCAAAGGAAUUGACGGGGACCCGCACAAGCGGUGGAGCAUGUGGUUUAAUUCGAAGCAACGCGAAGAACCUUACCAAAUCUUGACAUCCUUUGAAAACUCUAGAGAUAGAGCCUUCCCCUUCGGGGGACAAAGUGACAGGUGGUGCAUGGUUGUCGUCAGCUCGUGUCGUGAGAUGUUGGGUUAAGUCCCGCAACGAGCGCAACCCUUAAGCUUAGUUGCCAUCAUUAAGUUGGGCACUCUAGGUUGACUGCCGGUGACAAACCGGAGGAAGGUGGGGAUGACGUCAAAUCAUCAUGCCCCUUAUGAUUUGGGCUACACACGUGCUACAAUGGACAAUACAAAGGGCAGCUAAACCGCGAGGUCAUGCAAAUCCCAUAAAGUUGUUCUCAGUUCGGAUUGUAGUCUGCAACUCGACUACAUGAAGCUGGAAUCGCUAGUAAUCGUAGAUCAGCAUGCUACGGUGAAUACGUUCCCGGGUCUUGUACACACCGCCCGUCACACCACGAGAGUUUGUAACACCCGAAGCCGGUGGAGUAACCAUUUAUGGAGC
rnacentral:rRNA from 1 species